UUGACAUAAGUCACAGUGCUCUAGUUUUCAUUUAAACUUCAGGUGUGUUUUUCUUCUAUUCCAGAUACUCCAGAGCUGCCCUGUAAUCCCUGAAUCCUACUGAAUUCACACCCUGGUGAUAUAUCAAUGUCAAAGGGAUGCAACUGGUAAUUCUGCCUGGCUGGUAAACUGCCUCGUGUCACCCUGUUUCCAAUGGCUGCUGUCAAGCCGUGCUACUUUUCUUACUUAAAAGCAAAACCUGUUCCUUUGCUCCUCCUUGUGCAAGCCUGCAUAGAGAGCAUGCAGGAAGAUGGGCAGAGGCUGGGAGCGCUUUCAUCCUGCCGGGGCUGCGUGCGUGAACAUCCCGAGCAUCCCGGGGGGAGCCCUCUCGGGGAAGCGCCGCAGAGCCGGCGGCAGUGUGUGGUGCCGAUAAGGAGAUGAAACAAUGGCUGCGACACCGAGAGCCUUCACACAAUUACGUGUUUUCUUCAUUUUAAGGCAAUUUUCUGGGCCCCUCUGUCUGCCCAUUCCCGGUAGAGCUGAUGUCGCUGAUGUGAAUAAAAUCAAUACUGAGCAGAAGGAACCUGAAUGCUACUGCAGAUCUGCUUGCUGGUUUCCAAGAUAUCUUACAAAAUUUCCAAAACAACUUAUGCAAUAUGUGACCUGGAGAGAAGGCACAUCUGCUUCCGUGAAAGAAAAAGGAAGAAAUGGCAAGUUUCCCUGCCUCCCUGCUCCCAGAGAAAAGCUGGAACAUUCAAAACCUAAAGGCAUCAGUAAGAGAAGUUACAUACUGAGCAGAUUUUUAAAAAUCUUACUGUAUCUAAGUAACAUCCUGGGCUUGUUUCACAGCAUGUUGAAUUUUAUUUUUUUGACAUGGAAUGGUUUCUAUUCUGGAAUUGCACUUUGCCAUGGAGAGUGUUGCUACAACAGGAAUGGGAUUCCAGCAUGA
rnacentral:lncRNA from 1 species